ACUUUUUUUUGUAUAUUCUAAAUCACUUCAGAAGAAGAAGUUCCACCAUUUAGAUCACUAUGGUAGCAUCCAUUCUUCAAACAUGUAAUUUUUUAUAUACUCAACUUUUUUAAGAGCCUAAUCUUUAUGAAUAUUUCUUUUUAUAUGAGUGUUAUUUUGUGAUCAUAAUAAUGUUAGUCAGUGUAGUUCAAACUAUUUCCAUGAGAGAGAUUUUAGUUCGAUGUAUGAGGAAGAAGGAAGCUCCAAGAAUGGUAAGAAGUAUUUUAUGUAUUUACAGGGCAGAUUGAUCAAUAAAAAUGAGGUGGCAGUAAAAAAACUUCUUAAAAAAUAGAACAAGAAGAGAGAAUUCAUAAUUGAAGUGGAGGCUAUAGGUCAUGUUAGAGAUAAAUAUCUUGUGUGCCUGUUUGGAGGGAGUUAAACAGAGUAAUGGAUGCAUGUUGCCAUGGAACAAGGAACACUUACCUGGGAGGUUCGCAUGCUCGAUAGUUACCUGGC